rnacentral:rRNA from 1 species
UUUUUUUUCCUCCCCCGAGAAACUACAUAUCAAUAAGCGGAGGAAAAGAAACCAACAGGGAUUGCUCAGUAACGGCGAGUGAAGCGGCAACAGCUCAAAUUUGAAAUCUGGCCGCAAGGUCCGAGUUGUAAUUUGCAGAGGAUGCUUUGGGCGAGGUGCCUUCCGAGUUCCCUGGAACGGGACGCCAUAGAGGGUGAGAGCCCCGUACGGUAGGACCACCGAGCCUUUGUAAAGCUCCUUCGACGAGUCGAGUAGUUUGGGAAUGCUGCUCUAAAUGGGAGGUGUACGUCUUCUAAAGCUAAAUACCGGCCAGAGACCGAUAGCGCACAAGUAGAGUGAUCGAAAGAUGAAAAGCACUUUGAAAAGAGGGUUAAAAAGUACGUGAAAUUGUUGAAAGGGAAGCAUUCAUGACCAGACUUGGGCUUGGUUGAACAUCCGGCGUUCUCGCCGGUGCACUCUGCCAGUCCAGGCCAGCAUCAGUUUGCCCCGGGGGACAAAGGCGGUGGGAAUGUGGCUCUCUCCGGGGAGUGUUAUAGCCCGCCGUGUAAUGCCCUGGGGCGGACUGAGGAACGCGCUUCGGCUCGGAUGCUGGCGUAAUGGUCAUCAAUGACCCGUCUUGAAACACGGACCAAGGAGUCGUCUUCGUAUGCGAGUGUUCGGGUGUCAAACCCCUACGCGAAAUGAAAGUGAACGUAGGUGAGAGCUUCGGCGCAUCACCGACCGAUCCUGAUGUUCUCGGACGGAUUUGAGUAAGAGCAUACGGGGCCGGACCCGAAAGAAGGUGAACUAUGCCUGUAUAGGGUGAAGCCAGAGGAAACUCUGGUGGAGGCUCGCAGCGGUUCUGACGUGCAAAUCGAUCGUCAAAUAUGGGCAUGGGGGCGAAAGACUAAUCGAACCCU